rnacentral:rRNA from 1 species
UACAGAGGUCUCAAGCGUUGUUCGGAUUCAUUGGGCGUAAAGGGUGCGUAGGUGGCGCGGUAAGUCGGGUGUGAAAUUUCGGAGCUUAACUCCGAAACUGCAUUCGAUACUGCCGUGCUUGAGGACUGGAGAGGAGACUGGAAUUUACGGUGUAGCAGUGAAAUGCGUAGAUAUCGUAAGGGAAGACCAGUGGCGAAGGCGGGUCUCUGGACAGUUCCUGACACUGAGGCACGGAAGGCCAGGGGAGCAAACGGG